rnacentral:rRNA from 1 species
GACGAACGCUGGCGGCGUGCUUAACACAUGCAAGUCGAACGAAGUGGCGAACGGGUGAGUAACGCGUAAUCAACCUGCCCUUCAGAGGGGGACAACAGUUGGAAACGACUGCUAAUACCGCAUACUGAAGGAGGGGAUUGCGUCUGAUUAGCUAGUUGGAGGGGUAACGGCCCACCAAGGCGAUGAUCAGUAGGCGGGCUGAGAGGAUGAACCGCCACAUUGGGACUGAGACACGGGCCAGACUCCUAAGGGGGGCGGCAGUGGGGAAUCUUCCGAAAUGGACGAAAGUCUGACGGAGCAAAGGCGCAUGAGUGAUGACGGCCUUCGGGUUGGAAAGGUCUGUUAAUCGGGACGCGGUACCGGAAUAGAAAGCCACGGCUAACUACGUGCCAGCAGCCGCGGUAAUUC